rnacentral:rRNA from 1 species
CGCCUAACACAUGCAAGUCGAACGAAGUAGCAAUACUUAGUGGCAGACGGGUGAGUAACAUGUAGGUAUCUGCCCUUUGGCCUGGAAUAACACGAGGAAACUUGUGCUAAUACCGGAUAAGUCUUUACAGAGAAAGCUUUAUGCACCAUUGGAUGAGCCUGCACUUGAUUAGUUUGUUGGUGGGGUAAUGGCCUACCAAGACUGUGAUCAAUAGCUGAUUUGAGAGGAUGAUCAGCCACAUUGGGACUGAGACACGGCCCAAACUCCUACGGGAGGCAGCAGUGGGGAAUCUUGCACAAUGGAGGAAACUCUGAUGCAGCGAUGCCGCGUGAGUGAAGAAGGCCUUUGGGUUGUAAAGCUCUUUCGUCGGGGAAGAAAAUGACUGUACCCGAAUAAGAAGGUCCGGCUAACUUCGUGCCAGCAGCCGCGGUAAUACGAAGGGACCUAGCGUAGUUCGGAAUUACUGGGCUUAAAGAGUUCGUAGGUGGUUGAAAUAGUUGGUGGUGAAAUCCCAGAGCUUAACUCUGGAACUGCCAUCAAAACUUUUCAGCUAGAGUAUGAUAGAGGAAAGCAGAAUUUCUAGUGUAGAGGUGAAAUUCGUAGAUAUUAGAAAGAAUACCAAUUGCGAAGGCAGCUUUCUGGAUCAUUACUGACACUGAGGAACGAAAGCAUGGGUAGCGAAGAGGAUUAGAUACCCUCGUAGUCCAUGCCGUAAACGAUGUGUGUUAGACGUUGGAAAUUUAUUUUCAGUGUCGCAGCGAAAGCGAUAAACACACCGCCUGGGGAGUACGACCGC